rnacentral:rRNA from 1 species
AUUGAACGCUGGCGGCAGGCCUAACACAUGCAAGUCGAGCGGAUGAGAGGAGCUUGCUCCUUGAUUCAGCGGCGGACGGGUGAGUAAUGCCUAGGAAUCUGCCUGGUAGUGGGGGAUAACGUUCCGAAAGGAACGCUAAUACCGCAUACGUCCUACGGGAGAAAGCAGGGGACCUUCGGGCCUUGCGCUAUCAGAUGAGCCUAGGUCGGAUUAGCUAGUUGGUGAGGUAAUGGCUCACCAAGGCGACGAUCCGUAACUGGUCUGAGAGGAUGAUCAGUCACACUGGAACUGAGACACGGUCCAGACUCCUACGGUAGGCAGCAGUGGGGAAUAUUGGACAAUGGGCGAAAGCCUGAUCCAGCCAUGCCGCGUGUGUGAAGAAGGCCUUCGGGUUGUAAAGCACUUUCAGUAGGGAGGAAAGGGUGAGUCUUAAUACGGCUCAUCUGUGACGUUACCUACAGAAGAAGGACCGGCUAACUCCGUGCCAGCCGCCGCGGUAA